UCAAGGUCAGCAUGGCCCUUAUAUCCUGGGCUACACACACGCUACAAUGGCCAACACAAUAGGUUGCUAAGCCGCGAGGUGGCGCCAAUCCAUAAAGUUGGUCUCAGUUCAGAUUGUAGGCUGCAACCCGCCUGCAUGAAGAUGGAGUUGCUAGUAACCGCAGGUCAGCUAUACUGCGGUGAAUACGUUCCCGGGGCUU
rnacentral:rRNA from 1 species